rnacentral:rRNA from 1 species
AUCCCCCUUCUCUACUUGACUCGGAAUCCAACAGCACGAAACGAACGCACCGCUCGCUUCCGCCCCUCCCCAACCUCCGUACCCUCCCUCCCCCCACCGCCGCGCCGUCCGCGCCCGCCGCCUCAGCUGAGCGACGGCCGGGCCCUCUCGGCGGCGGCCAUCGACGAUGGUGGUGGCCACGGAGGAAAUGGCGGUCUACUGCUUCGACACCCUCGUCGCCCACUACAGCGGCGAGCAGCCGCCGCCGCCCGCCUUCGAGGAGGGCGUCCACCCACUGUUUGUCACCUGGAAGAAGGCUACCAAUGGUUCCGAGCCACGCCUAAGGGGAUGCAUCGGAACUUUGGAGCCCCGUCAGAUUGUAAGCGGCUUCAAGGAUUAUGCGCUGACCAGUGCCCUGAGGGAUCGGCGCUUUUCUCCGAUACAGUCCAAAGAGCUGCCAUAUUUGGAAUGCACAGUUUCUAUAUUGACUGAAUACGAAACUGCACUCAACCACCUUGAUUGGGAGGUUGGAAAGCAUGGUUUAAUUAUUGAGUUCACCGAUCCUGACUAUAAUGUAAGACGGAGUGGAACUUAUUUACCUGAGGUUGCUGCCCAUGAAGGAUGGACACAACUAGAGACCAUUGACUCGCUCAUGAGGAAGGCUGGCUAUAAUGGCACCAUCACCGAGUCUUUGAGGAAGAAAAUCCGCGUCACCCGCUACCAGAGUACCCUGUACACCAUGCACUAUGGUGAAUAUACUGCAUAUGUCAAGAAGAACAGAGGUGAAAUUAACGGGGCACCCAUAGUUAAUGGAUUCAAACCAGGCCAGUGAUUUAUCUGUACUGUAGCAGGUAAUACAACUAUUUUUAAUUUGGCUUGGAAGGAAUUGGUGUGAGAAUUUGUUCGAAAAAAUCAACUCUAGUCAUUGAUCUGCCAUCAUGCCAUUUCAUUCCAAAGAAUGUGGGGUGCCAUGUCAACGGCCCUCAUGUCGUUCUGGGACAAAUUAAAUGGUGAUGGUUAUGUAUCUGUAAGCCUAUGCACUUUGAUUACAAAUAAUUGUGUGAAAUUAAUUGAUUUAAGUUGUUCAUUCACUGGUUAUGAUACCAG